GAUUCCCUUGUGGAAGAAGGGGGAGGGUGAAGGAGGCCGAGGGCCCUUUUCUCGGGGCCAGCUCGUCUGUGCCCUCUUGCUGGCCGGAGAGAAGGGCUGCCCGCUGGGCACAGGGAGUGCCUUGUAGCUCCCGUGCCGUGCCCUGCCCUCCAGCCCCCUCCUCAUCCUAUGUGGAACACCAGUGCCAGCAGUGCGGCCGCCAUUUUAGAACCCUCUCCACGUCACCUUGGUCACCGCUGCCGCGCGCAACGCACUCGCCUCUGAGAGCUCUGGACGUUGACAGCCAUGUCGGAAGCCAAGAGAGCAAGGCUGGAGGAUUCCCACGAUUUAGGUGGGAAGAUGGAGCCGGGGACUGCAGGGUCGAAGAGGAGGAGGAGGGGGCCCGCCAUGACCAUCAGGUGGCAGACAGGCAAGCGAGCCCGUUCCCAUCGCGCCUGGACCAGCUGCAUGACCACCUCCGUGGAGCCCAUGGAGGUGGAUCCACCUGAGGCACAGCUGGCCUGGCACCACACCACCGUGCCAGGCCCCACAUCCUUACCAUCUCAGCUCCGCCAUCACUGGUCCAGGCGCUGGGCUCCUUACCGUCUGCGCGGCCCCCGCCCCCGGCAUUAGCCGGGUGGCUUCAUUUAACAUCAGCUCCUCCUUUGAGACCUCUGCGGGCCCCCGGUUCCAUCUUAACCCUAUUUCUAUUGUGGAUUUUAGUGUUAAGUUUAGUUGUAGUUUUAGGAGUAGGUUAUUGUUUGCGUUUUUUAGUUAGGAGUAGGUUAUUGUUCACGUUUUAGUGUUAGUAGAUGAUUGUUCCUGUUUUAGAGCUAGUUGUAGGUUACUGUUCAUGUUUUAGUGUUAGGUGUAGGUUUCUGUUCCUGUUUUAGAGUUAGGCAUAGGUUACUGUUCGUACUUAGAGUUAGGUGGGUUCCUACCAGCAGCUGGCAGCAAACAGCGCUCACUCGGUAAGCACACGUCUGCUUUCUCACCCAAUGCCAUGAGUGAGGAGGUCUGUGACAUCUCCGAGGGAUGGGAUUUGCAUCUUGUGACUUUUCUGUUGCAGAUUGUCGAGGAGCAGAGCGUGAGUGGCUGUGAAAUGCAAUUGGGCUUCAUGGAAACAGUCCGGAGCUGUGUCUGGAGCUUCCUGCGUGGCCAUUGUAAGGUAGGUGUGCCUUACUGUAAGCGUGUGCUGAAGCAGUGUUGGUUAAGCACAGCUCACUCCUCUGUCUGCAACAGAUGGGCUUUCUGCGCGCUUUAUUGCUGUGGCCGGCGUUGAACAGCACAGCAGCAGCGAGGCCUCGAACAUGUCCACAACCAGGUACGUGAAUGUGAGUAAAUUUAGCUGUGUGAAUGAUGUUAUUGUUCAUAUUAGUAAGGCAGUAUUCACAUGUGUGUGAUGGAGCUCAGGGAUAGGUUUAUUCUUGCCUGGUAAAUUUUCCCUUCUUUGACACCCACCCGUCCUCUUGCUUCUCUUCCCCUCACCUGUAAGUGCAGCAAUACUGAAGGCUGAGGGCUCUUCUCCGAGGCAGGCGCUAAAGGGCAAUUGAAAUGCAAGUUUGUUGUCCCUCUUUGUUCUUGGGUCGGUAGCCCAAGGUGACCAAGCUUCAGAGCACUUCUCUAAGUCAGC
rnacentral:lncRNA from 1 species